AGGAGGAAGAGGCGGCCAAUGAGUUUGUUGCCAUGGUCAAGGAGUACAAGGCGAAGCACGCGGAGUAGGAUGCGAGGCAUAUGAGGAAGCAGCCAAUGAGUUUGUUGCCAUCGUCAAGGAGUACUAGGCGAA
rnacentral:rRNA from 1 species